rnacentral:rRNA from 1 species
GACGAACCGUGCGAACGUUGUUCGGAAUCACUGGGCUUAAAGGGCUCGUAGGCGGUUUGUCGCGUCGGGAGUGAAAUCCACUGGCUUAACUGGUGGCUUGCUUUCGAUACGGGCAGACUGGAGGUAUGCAGGGGAGAACGGAAUUCCUGGUGUAGCGGUGAAAUGCGCAGAUAUCGGGAGGAACACCGGUGGCGAAGGCGGUUCUCUGGGCCUUACCUGACGCUGAGGAGCGAAACGUGGGGAGCGA